rnacentral:rRNA from 1 species
AGCUCCAAUAGCGUAUAUUAAAGUUGUUGCAGUUAAAAAGCUCAUAGUUGAGCUUGUGACCUGGAUGGCUCAGUCUGACGCUCAUGCAUGAGUACCUGAGCCAUCCAACAAUCCUUGGGUGGAACCUGUGUGGCAUUAAGUUUUCGUGUAGGGGAUGCCCUUUGUUUACUGUUAAAAAAUUAGAAUGUUCAAAACAGCCUUAUACCUUUGAAUACAUCAGUAUGGAAUAAUUAUAUAGGACUUUGGUACCAUUUUGUUGGUUUUUGAACUAAAGUAAUGAUUAAUAGGGACAGUUGGGGAUAUUAGUUUUUUUAGGUUAGAGGUGAAAUUCUUGGAUUCUUUAAAGACUAACUACUACAAAAGCAUUUAUCAAGGAUGUUUUCA